GACGAACGCUGGCGGCGUGCCUAAUACAUGCAAGUAGAACGCUGAAGGAGGAGCUUGCUUCUCUGGCUGAGUUGCGAACGGGUGAGUAACGCGUAGGUAACCUGCCUGGUAGCGGGGGAUAACUAUGGGAAACGAUAGCUAAUACCGCAUAAUAGCAGUUCUUGCAUGAUAACUGUUGGAAAGGUGCACUUGCACCACUACCAGAUGGACCUGCGUUGUAUUAGCUAGUUGGUGGGGUAACGGCUCACCAAGGCGACGAUGCAUAGCCGACCGGAGCGGGUGAGCGGCCACACUGGGAGGGUGACACGGCACAGAGUGCUACGGGAGGCAGCAGUAGGGAAACGUCAGCAAUGGGCGGAAGUCUGAGCGAGAAACGCCGCGGGAGGGAAGAAGGGCUUCGGGUCGUAAAGCUCGGUUGUAAGAGAAGAACGAGUGUGAGAGUGGAAAGUUCACACUGUGACGGUAUCUUACCAGAAAGGGACGGCUAACUACGUG
rnacentral:rRNA from 1 species